GCUUCAGCCUUGGGAUCAGACUCCUGUUUGUCCUUAAGAGGAGACUCAAAGGAACAGGGGCCAAACAAGAGUGUUUCUGGCAGAUUAAAACCCAGGCUGUAGUAAGGAAGAUGAGACUGGGGAACACAGUUCUGCCUGAUCUGCAGGCGAAGAGCUUGGCAGACUUGUUCAAGAAUAUAUAUCAUUUAUAUUCAGAUGCUCUGUGUUCAAAUGUAUUUCACUGACUACUCACGUACUGGUGACGAGGUACCAGAAAGACGGGCAGAAGAUGAGAGAUGUUUGUGGCUCAUCUAAUCACUAGAUUCAUCUCCAUGUCCAGAUGGAACAGUAGCCCUCCAAGUCAUGGCUCAACGAGAAACACACGUCCCUACAGUGUGCCCCAGAGAGUAACUAAAAUUAUUGUCAUCACAAUCUUCCAGCCCUGGCAGGCUCUGCAAGUUGUUCAUGCAAUCCAAUAUCAAUCAUGCUGUUUGAAGGAUACCCACAUCCAGGAAACUUGGGAUACACACGGUGGCUGACCAUUGCUUCUUGUUACUGCCCAGUGAUGUGAAUGGUGUAUGCUUCUUUUUGCCAACCUCAUUACCGUGGCACCCAGCAGACAAUUAAACCAGGUCCUCAGCUCUUGCUGGCCUCCACAGGAUUGCUUUGGGUUGCUCCAGAUACCACCACAGCCUGCCUUGAGCCCCCUGGAAGCUGCUUCCCAGGUAGGCACUUAAUGCUCCAGCUCUGAAGGUUCCCUCAACAGCAAAUGCAUGGGACUGCUGUGUAUCAAUACAAAUUUUAACUAACUGGGUGGAUGCAGUCUGGGUGUUAAUAAAAAAUAAUGGUGUUUAAGACAAUUUUUCACAUUUAUUGAGAGGUAAUGUCCCCCUUUAUAAUGACCGUGCAACACAGUUUGGGACUAUUGAAGGGACUAAACCUUCAUCCUGAUAAAUUAUGCUUUGAAAAGCAAUUACUUGUUUUGGAACACUAUUUCUGUGAGGUUUUCAAAAAAAAGCUUUCUGCUGCUGAAAAUAAACAAGUUAUCAGGAAGAGGGUACAUUUUGUUAUAAAACUGUUUUGUUUCCAUUCGAACAGAAUGUGUUUGGGAGACAAAUUUUCUUAAUUUGCUAACUCAUAAUGUCUUUUUUUUUUUUUUAGAGAGAUAAUUCUAAAACAACUUAAUAACUCUGUAGGAUACUUAUUAAAAUAUAAGAGAUUAAAUUGUAAUGAGCGCACUACAGACCUCUUCUUGAAAGGGCUUCCAGGAAGGGAUCACUGUAAGAAAAAAGAUCAAAUUCAUUUUCCAACCUGUAACAAAAGGUAGCACGUAGCACAUAGCCAUAACCACCUCCAUGAAGAACUGUAAACCAAGUGGUGUUUCACUGGUUAUCCAGCCAUUUAUUCCUUAGGCUGUUAUGCAUGGGCAGGCAGAAAGUCUUUAUUUCCCCCCAGAUGGAUGAUUUGGAGACUUUGCUCUAUAUAUCAGCCUUAAUUGUACUUCUUGUGCAUAAACACUGAUGGAUUUACAAUAAAGAGGAUAUCAGGACCUUUGUCAAGCUUUAGAUAAACCAUAGAAGAGUAUUUACAAUGCAAAUGUCUUCUGCAUUACUAUACAGCCAGGAGAUGGGCUGUGAGGAAGACAGCAUUGUAAAGCCGUGGUGACAAGGCUGCCACAUCACUGGGAUCCUCAUUACAGCCCUACCCAGCUCAUACCAGGAGUGUUUUUCUCCUGCUUUUCUCUACUACUGUUAGCACAAAAGGCUUCAGAUUCACUGUAGUAAAUGAAAUUGUUUCCCCAGUAAAUAAU